rnacentral:rRNA from 1 species
AAAAACAUGUCUUUUUGAGAAUAAUUUAAAGUCUGACCUGCCCACUGAAAUAUGAAGAUUUGAAGGGCCGCAGUAUUUUGACUGUGCAAAGGUAGCAUAAUCAUUAGUCUUUUAAUUGGAGACUGGUAUGAAUGGUUUAACGAAGUAUUAACUGUCUCAUUUUAAUAAGUUGAAAUUAACUUUUGAGUCAAAAGGCUUAAAUAAAAUUAGAGGACGAGAAGACCCUAUAGAGCUUUAUAAGUUUGUUACGAAAUGUAAUUUAGAGGUUUAUUUAAUUUAAGUAAAAAAUUUAUUUUAUUGGGGUGAUAUGAAGAUUUAAUAAACUCUUUAUAAUAAUUAAACACUAAUAAGUGAAUAGUUGAUCCAUUUUUAGUGAUUAUAAGAUUAAGUUACCUUAGGGAUAACAGCGUAAUGUUUUUUGAGAGUUCUUAUCAACAAAAAAGAUUGCGACCUCGAUGUUGGAUUAAGGAAAAAGUUGGGUGUAGAAGUUCAAAUAUUUAGGUCUGUUCGACCUUUAAAUCCUUACGUCAUCUG